rnacentral:rRNA from 1 species
UACGUAGGGUGCAAGCGUUGUCCGGAAUUAUUGGGCGUAAAGAGCUCGUAGGCGGUUUGUUGCGUCGGCUGUGAAAUCCCGAGGCUCAACCUCGGGUCUGCAGUCGAUACGAGCAAACUAGAGUGUUGCAGGGGAGACUGGAAUUCCUGGUGUAGCGGUGAAAUGCGCAGAUAUCAGGAGGAACACCGGUGGCGGAAGGCGG